UACAGAGGUCUCAAGCGUUGUUCGGAUUCAUUGGGCGUAAAGCGCGCGUAGGCGGCUUUGUAAGUUAGAGGUGAAAGCCCGGAGCUCAACUCCGGAACUGCCUUUAAAACUGCAUCGCUUGAAUCCGGGAGAGGUGAGUGGAAUUCCGAGUGUAGAGGUGAAAGUUCGUAGAUAUUCGGAAGAACACCAGUGGCGAAGGCGGCUCACUGGACUGGUAUUGACGCUGAGGUGCGAAAGCGUGGGGAGCAAACAGG
rnacentral:rRNA from 1 species